AUGAUCAUUUUGGCCUGGAACUGCCGGGGGUUGGGGUUGGACUCGGCAGUAGGCGAACUACGGGGCCUGAUUAGGUCAUACAACCCAGCGGUGGUGUUCUUAUCAGAAACUAAAAAGAGAUCAGGGGCGAUGGAUAGGCUUAAGUGGAGCUUGGGGUUCAGUAAAGGGGUAGCGGUGGAUUGUAAGGGAAAGAGUGGAGGACUAGCGCUGUGG
rnacentral:rRNA from 1 species